UACGUAGGUCCCGAGCGUUGUCCGGAUUUAUUGGGCGUAAAGCGAGCGCAGGUGGUUUAUUAAGUCUGGUGUAAAAGGCAGUGGCUCAACCAUUGUAUGCAUUGGAAACUGGUAGACUUAAGUGCUUGAGAGGAGAGUGGAAUUCCAUGUGUAGCGGUGAAAUGCGUAGAUAUAUGGAGGAACACCGGUGGCGAAAGCGGCUCUCUGGCCUGUAACUGACACUGAGGCUCGAAAGCGUGGGGAGCAAACAGG
rnacentral:rRNA from 1 species